AGUGAACGCUGGCGGCAGGCCUAACACAUGCAAGUCGAACGGCAGCACAGCAGUAGCAAUACUGUGGGUGGCGAGUGGCGGACGGGUGAGGAAUACAUGGGAAUCUGCCCUGUCGUGGGGGAUAACGUAGGGAAACUUACGCUAAUACCGCAUACGACCGGAAGGUGAAAGCGGCGGACCGCAAGGCGUCGCGCGACUGGAUGAGCCGAUGUCGGAUUAGCUAGUUGGCGGGGUAAAGGCCCACCAAGGCGACGAUCCGUAGCUGGUCUGAGAGGAUGAUCAGCCACACUGGAACUGAGACACGGUCCAGACUCCUACGGGUGGCUG
rnacentral:rRNA from 1 species